CUGACUUUGUUUGUUUCAAAUCGAGGAGAGUUUAAAAUUGCUGUUUCUAAUACAAUAUUCAUCGUGGUUGAGUACGUAUUAUGAGAGUAGACAGUGCGGUCGGAGAACACGACAUAUCUGAUUCUGUUUUAGAAGACGUUUGUGUCUUAUUUUGUGCUUGUGCGUCAUUAUAAUAAUAAGCAAACUUUCUACAGUUUUUGUUAUGUGCAGUUUCGUAUACCUUAUAAAGUUUUGACUUUACACUGUGCCUUCAUCCGUCAACAACAACAAGCCGGUAUCCUCUGCAUGAACGACAGGUAGAUUUAGGUCUCGUACGAUGCAGAUAGGACAUAAUAAACAGUGACGCUGGAAAUAUCCCGGAUAAGAAUCGAGGACGAAAGCCGACAACAAACGACAGCAAACCUGAAUCUCUUGAAUUUCAUUAUUAGAUUAAAGGAAUCACUUCGGAGUGUAUCGUGUGAAAAUCAAUCAUCAACCAGCAGCUGUAUACA